GAACGCUGGCGGCGUGCCUAAUACAUGCAAGUCGAGCGGGGUUAUUUUAGAAGCUUGCUUUUAAAAYAACCUAGCGGCGGACGGGUGAGUAACACGUAGGCAACCUGCCCCUCAGACUGGGAUAACUACCGGAAACGGUAGCUAAUACCGGAUACAUCCUUUCCCUGCAUGGGGAGAGGAGGAAAGACGGAGCAAUCUGUCACUGAUGGAUGGGCCUGCGGCGCAUUAGCUAGUUGGUGGGGUAAUGGCCUACCAAGGCGACGAUGCGUAGCCGACCUGAGAGGGUGAUCGGCCACACUGGGACUGAGACACGGCCCAGACUCCUACGGGAGGCAGCAGUAGGGAAUCUUCCGCAAUGGGCGAAAGCCUGACGGAGCAACGCCGCGUGAGUGAUGAAGGUUUUCGGAUCGUAAAGCUCUGUUGCCAGGGAAG
rnacentral:rRNA from 1 species